AUGCAGCAAACCCAUUUUCCAGGUCAAGAAGCAAACACAUACUUGCUUUAUUAUUCACUUAUGUGCGGUCGUGCAAACUCUCUUAUCACAUUUGAUUCUCUUAUCAUAUUGGUUCCGUCACUUGACGUAGAAUUACCGAACAACCUGUUGCUAGAAAUUAGUAGAAUCUCACAUAUUGUAUGUAGAGCAUGUAUGCUGAGUGUAUUUUUAGAAGAUCCGUCAAUAUAUCUUUCAUGCCGGUCAAAGCGAAAAGGAUUCAGAUAUUUCAAGAAAUAUAUGAAUGAGGCAAAUCAUUUUUAA
rnacentral:rRNA from 1 species